CUGGCACAUAGUAGGUACUCAGUAAAUAUUUAUUGAAGUAAUAAAAAAAAAAAUAGAGACUAGCACAAGGGAGAUUUGUGUGCCCACUACAAAGUGCCCCUUAUGUUUUAUGAAAUGAUAUUAUAUAUGUAUACAACCUACAACAGUUACAUUGUUGAAUGUAUUCUUCCCCUUUCCAUUUCUCCAUUUUCCCUCCAUAGAGAUAACCACAGUCUUGGGGCUAGGGAUAUAGCUCACUUGGUAGAGUGUUUGCCUCACAUGCACAUGCACAAGGCCCUGGGUUUGAUCUCCAACACCACCAAAAAAAAAGGAGAUAAC
rnacentral:lncRNA from 1 species